rnacentral:lncRNA from 1 species
GUGUCUCUUGUUCCUGCGCAUGUUGACACAGCUCCCUGCUGGAGUCGGGACUGGAUCUGACUGUCAGCCUCACAGACACUAUCCAGGAACACACUGGGAACACACCUCCUGCUACUGGGCUUGUGCUGCUGGGCAGUACAGGACACUGACGCUGUGCUGGGAGAGUGACCAGACACUGUCCUUCUCCUGCUGUCUCUCUGCCUCUCUCACUCUGUGCCUCUGUGAGUGUGAUGGUGUCUCUCUGUCCCUCUCCCUCUCAGUCUAGUGUGUCUGCAGAUGUUCCUCUGUCUCAGAGGGUUAGAGAAAGAGAGAAUGAGGAAAAAGGAGAGGAGGAGGAGGGGUUUCUGAGUUCCUGUUUGCUGUCCAGUGCUUUAGUGUCACUCUGACCUGGCAGAGACUCAGUGUGACUCAGUGCCCAGCUGUCUCACUGGACCCUGCUAAUACAGUCAGAACUAUGGACACAGACAGCGUUUACACUUGGCUACAGAAACCAGCACAGGACGUGUACGAGACUGUGACCAGGAGAGCAGAGAGAGAGCCAGGAGGAGAGCAGACCAUGUGGAAACAGAACAGCUCAGACUGGGAGAGAAGACUGGAGAAGAAGGAAGAAAAGCUGGAGGGAAACCAGAAUAAAUCUGAGACACACUGGAGUGAUGCUGAGAGAUACAGGAGUGAAGCUGAGAGAUACAAGAAUGAAUCUGAGAAACACAGGAAUGAAGCUGACAGAUACAGGAAACA